GCCCAGGUGGUGGAACUGGUAGACACGUACGCUUGAGGGGCGUAUGGGGUGACCCAUGCGAGUUCGAGUCUCGCCCUGGGCA
rnacentral:tRNA from 1 species